rnacentral:rRNA from 1 species
UAGCCGACCUGAGAGGGUGAUCGGCCACACUGGGACUGAGACACGGCCCAGACUCCUACGGGAGGCAGCAGUAGGGAAUCUUCGGCAAUGGACGAAAGUCUGACCGAGCAACGCCGCGUGAGUGAAGAAGGUUUUCGGAUCGUAAAACUCUGUUGUUAGAGAAGAACAAGGAUGAGAGUAAAACGUUCAUCCCUUGACGGUAUCUAACCAGAAAGCCACGGCUAACUACGUGCCAGCAGCCGCGGUAAUACGUAGGUGGCAAGCGUUGUCCGGAUUUAUUGGGCGUAAAGCGAGCGCAGGCGGUUUCUUAAGUCUGAUGUGAAAGCCCCCGGCUCAACCGGGGAGGGUCAUUGGAAACUGGGAGACUUGAGUGCAGAAGAGGAGAGUGGAAUUCCAUGUGUAGCGGUGAAAUGCGUAGAUAUAUGGAGGAACACCAGUGGCGAAGGCGGCUCUCUGGUCUGUAACUGACGCUGAGGCUCGAAAGCGUGGGGAGCGAACAGGAUUAGAUACCCUGGUAGUCCACGCCGUAAACGAUGAGUGCUAAGUGUUGGAGGGUUUCCGCCCUUCAGUGCUGCAGCAAACGCAUUAAGCACUCCGCCUGGGGAGUACGACCGCAAGGUUGAAACUCAAAGGAAUUGACGGGGGCCCGCACAAGCGGUGGAGCAUGUGGUUUAAUUCGAAGCAACGCGAAGAACCUUACCAGGUCUUGACAUCCUUUGACCACUCUAGAGAUAGAGCUUCCCCUUCGGGGGCAAAGUGACAGGUGGUGCAUGGUUGUCGUCAGCUCGUGUCGUGAGAUGUUGGGUUAAGUCCCGCAACGAGCGCAACCCUUAUUGUUAGUUGCCAUCAUUUAGUUGGGCACUCUAGCGAGACUGCCGGUGACAAACCGGAGGAAGGUGGGGAUGACGUCAAAUCAUCAUGCCCCUUAUGACCUGGGCUACACACGUGCUACAAUGGGAAGUACAACGAGUUGCGAAGUCGCGAGGCUAAGCUAAUCUCUUAAAGCUUCUCUCAGUUCGGAUUGUAGGUUGCAAUUCGCCUACAUGAAGCNGGAAUCGUGUAGUAAU